UACGGAGGGUGCGAGCGUUGUCCGGAAUCACUGGGCGUAAAGGGCGCGUAGGUGGCGACGCAAGUCAACGGUGAAAGCUCGACGCUCAACGUCGAGUCGGCCGUCGAUACUGCAUCGCUGGAGCACUGUAGAGGCAGAUGGAAUUCCGGGUGUAGCGGUGGAAUGCGUAGAGAUCCGGAAGAACACCGGUGGCGAAGGCGGUCGCUGG
rnacentral:rRNA from 1 species